GAUGAACGCUGGCGGCGUGCCUAAUACAUGCAAGUCGAGCGAACAGACGAGGAGCUUGCUCCUCUGACGUUAGCGGCGGACGGGUGAGUAACACGUGGAUAACCUACCUAUAAGACUGGGAUAACUUCGGGAAACCGGAGCUAAUACCGGAUAAUAUAUUGAACCGCAUGGUUCAAUAGUGAAAGACGGUUUUGCUGUCACUUAUAGAUGGAUCCGCGCCGCAUUAGCUAGUUGGUAAGGUCACGGCUUACCAAGGCAACGAUGCGUAGCCGACCGGGGAGGGUGGUCGGCCACACUGGAACUGGACCACGGACCAGACUCCUACGGGAGGCAGCAGAAGGGAAUCUUCGGCAAUGGGCGAAAGCCUGACGGAGCAAGGGCGCGUGAGUGAUGAAGGUCUUCGGAUCGUAAAACUCUGUUAUGAGGGAAGAACAAAUGUGUAAGUAACUAUGCACGUCGUGACGGUACCUAAUCAGAAAGCCACGGCUAACUACGUG
rnacentral:rRNA from 1 species